rnacentral:rRNA from 1 species
CAGCCGCCGCGGUAAUACGAAGGGGGCUAGCGUUGCUCGGAAUGACUGGGCGUAAGGGGCGCGUAGGCGGCGAUCAAAGUCAGGCGUGAAAUCCCCGGGCUCAACCUGGGACCUGCAUUUGUGACUGUAUAGCUAGAGUACGGUAGAGGGGGAUGGAAUUCCGCGUGUAGCAGUGAAAUGCGUAGAUAUGCGGAGGAACACCAAUGGCGAAGGCAAUCCCCUGGACCUGUACUGACGCUCAUGCACGAAGGCGUGGGGAGCAAACAGGAUUAGAUACCCGGGUAGUCCCUGUCUCUUAUAC